rnacentral:rRNA from 1 species
UUAUUAUUUACAUUAAUAAUUAGGUUUUGUGCAAUUCGACCUAGCUUGAAUUUAACGAGUUGAUUACUUUAAUAUAUAUAUUUAUGUUGAAUUUAUUAGAAAUAACUUUUUUAUUAGUAGUGUUUAUUGAAAUUUUUAUGUGUGUGAUAGUUUAUAGUACUGUAAAGGAAUUAUAAAUUUUAAUUUUAAGCAAAUUUUAUUUAUUGUACCUUUUGUAUCAGGGUUUAUUAAUAUAAAGAUUAAUUAUUUAAUUUUCCCGAAAUUAGAAGAGAUAUAUUUUUAUGAUAGUUUCUGUUUUAAAAUAAUUAUUAAUUUAAAUAUAGGGGUUAUAUGCUAUUCAUUUUUAAAUAUCUGGUUAUCUAAUAAAUUAAUUUAAUUAAAAUAAUUAAAUGUUGAUUUAUUUAUAUUAUUUUGUAAUUUUAAUCAAUAAAGGAUAAGCUUUUUUGAUUUUUUAUAAUUUUAUUAAAAUUUAAUUUUUGUAGGAUUAGUAACUUUCAUCAUUAAUUUCGUUAUAGUUUAGUUUAAUUUUAUUUUUAUUUAUUAUUAAUAUUUAAUUUUUUAUUAAAAUGUUUUAUUUAAUCUUUUUUUAUUUAUAAUAAUGAUAAAAUUAGUAUUUUUUUAUAUAAAAUAUAGUAAUUCGGCAAUUUUAAUUUUCACCUGUUUAUCAAAAACAUGUCUUUUUGUUUUUAUAUAAAGUCUAGUCUGCUCUAUGAUUAAUUUUAAAUGGCCGCAGUAUUUUAACUGUGCAAAGGUAGCAUGAUCAUUUGCUUCUUAAUUAGGGGCUUGUAUGAAUGGCUGGAUGAGAAACUAACUUUCUUUAUUUUAUUUUAAAUAAUUUUAUUUUUUAGUUAAAAAGCUAAAAUAUUUUUAUUAGACGAGAAGACC